rnacentral:tRNA from 1 species
GGGAUGUAGCUCAGGGGUAGAGUGCUUGCCUAGCAUGCUUUAGGUUCUGGGUUCAAUCUCCAGUCUCA